AUCACUCUUUACAGCAAUCAUUUUCGUCAUCCGCACUGCACAGAUGCAGGCAGGAAAUUUGCAUGUAGGCAAUACAAGCAUACAUGGAGGAGUCUAGUGAAUGUGACACAAAAGGGGGUCAUUCCGAACAGGAGAAGGACUCCAAGCAGCCAAGGCAAAACGAGGAGCUUGUACCUAAAAGAGGAGCUACUUCUGUCGCAUGGACAUGGUUUGGGUAUGAAAAGUCUGACACAAACCAGAACACUGUACUUGGCAAAUUAUGCCGCAGACCGGUCCCCACAUCAAACCCAAGGUACACAAUGCCAAACCAAAAACACUUCACUCAAGUCGAGUUGCCUGUCAAGGUUCAUUGACAAAACUUUUGCUAGUCACCAUUAUUAGUUUAAGCCUAUGGCAUUUUACACUGCAUAAAUAGCCUAGCGUCAAGUGGACAUUUCCUCUACUCAUAGCUUAAGAAAUUACGUUAUUUAUUUACCAAUUAUAGUAAAGAAUUGUCAACGUGUAACGUCCGCUUCACCUGUCUGUCCUCUAAGAUGCCGUUUAAUGUUAACGAUGCAGGAUUACAUGCUGCUUCAUGUAAUGCUUAUACUUGUAUUUGCCCAUUAUUAUUUGAAGUGCAUUAUUAUUUAAACGAUGUAUUUCCAUUUUAAAUGUGUUGUCUGAAUUUUUCCCACGUGUGUAACCCAAAUUCUGACACAUCAUACAAAAUACUGUAGAAUUACUGAUGCUGUGCUGUCGGAUCUGUUGGAGUUGUGGUUGUCUUGCUAGUAUAGAUAUAGUACUCCUGUGCACUGGUGUGGAGGUGGUUGUGGAAGGUGUCCAUUACAGGAAUCAGAAAAAGAAGAGGUGGUGGUAGAAAAUGAAUGUCAAGAAAAAACGAUGUAAAAGCAGAGCUGCUGGUGAGGUUACCCUCUUUGGCAACAACUUCGAACAGGGGCAGAGACAUUUUUCUUUUUUACUAGUCCUGUAGCGUUACACUAUAAUACAUCACCUCAGUUCAACCUCUCCAUAUCAGUUUAAUAGAUAAAGGAGCAUCUGUAUUAUAGACGGUAUUGAAAAUCAUGCCUUAGGGAUUUCUAAACACCCUGGUAAACCAUAAUACGGUAAUACCGCCCAAGCCUAGUUGUCAGUAACCCCAUCCUUUCUCUUUGACCGUUUCAUUGAUGUUUUCAGAGAAUCCACGCCUGUGUUGGCUUGAUCACAUGAUAAGACUGUGUUGACGAAGUAGUGCAGCUAGAAGUAAUUUUACAAAGGGCACUUGAAUGUAAAUUACUACUACCACUUCUGUUUCUUAAAAACAAUCCACCCAACUCCAUUUACAAUUAAAUUCAAAAUCAAAUUUGGCUCAUUCAUCGCCAUUUAAAAAAUUAAAGAUCACUUAAGUACGACUGCUUCUUAAGUAAGUCUGCUUCUUGUUUUGUCGCAAAGUGAGAUAAUGAGUUCUUGCACUAUUUUGAAAAGCCAAAGGCCCCAGGUGUAGCUACAUGUGUGGAGAUCCUGUGGCAGGCAGCCAGGUGAUCUGCUUGGUCUGAGAGGAAGACAAUAAAGAAACAUGUCAAACUAGGAAACAGGUAUGUUUGAUAGACUUGUUGAUAAAAUAUGGAUGGUCUAAGUACUAGUUAAGUUUAAAAUGCUUGUAGUUCAAGCUAAAAUGGCACUUGGAAAUGGUGAAAAUGUAUUUCACAAAGAAGCUCUGUUGCCAAAGUAAGCACGGUCUUGUGUGGCGAAGGAGUCUGCCAAUACUUGAAGCUAUUGCAGGUGGCUUGGUGUGCAGGUAAAUGCCUGCUACCUCAGAGCUUACAUAAUGUUUUUCCCCCUGCUGCUUUUCUGCUGUCGCUACCAACUGCAGUCAUGUAAAUCAAAUUAAGUAAAGUCUGUCUUAUGCUUUCACAUUAUGCAGGAAACCACAAUGAAAAGAUCAGGAUAAGAAGACUCGGGGAUAAUGGUUGGCCCACUCUAAGGUCAGGGGCAGCAGGCAGAUAUGGCUGUCUGUGAUGUGCAGGGUAAACUUUUUUUCCAGAGCGUUGAUCUCUCGCCCUGCUACAAGCUUGGUAUUUGUUUAUAAUAAAACCAGUAGCACUGUUGUUGCACAUUGUACGCUAUUGGUGUCUUUUGGACUUAAAGGGAAACCCAAAACCUGUUUUGUUUUUUUAUCAAACACUCUCUGUUGGCUUUAAAGGUGGCUUUGAAAAGUUUGUAGCUUGCUCCAUUGUGGAAGAUGGCAGCAGCAGUUAGUUGCGAUUCACAACAACUAUAAUAGAUUCCAGCAGUGACCCAGUUUCAUAGCAAAAUAACACGUUCAUAAAAAAACUUCUCAUAACUCCUGCAGCAGAAUCCACAACUCCACUGUACCUCUGUAUGCUCAGUAUAUGUUCCAAACACUAAUAUAAUUUCACCACAGUAUAUACACAAACGAAAUAUAUAGCUUUUAUUUUGUGCUAGCACAAUGAGCUGCAAAGUAAUUCACAACCAACCUAAUUGCAUGCGGCAGAUGUAAAUAGUUAACUACGCUAAUCAAAGAUUUAAAAAAAGGGAUUCUUACCAUCCAUGUUCAUUCUUAGGUUAGGUUGUGGGUAGAUUGUCAAGAUCUGUAAACCAAACUAGCAUGUGUGGCACACUAACAGCCUUUACCAUUUCACAGUCACAAGGCCCUAGGGUGUCCUCCCAGUUGGAAUGGGACAGCCUUGGCUGAGUUCAACCUGUCCAUGCAAGAGAGAUGGGGAAGCGGGUGUUUAGACUGAAAUCAGCCCUGCGUUAAAACAACACAGGGGGCUGUGUUGGUGGGGGCGUGUGGCUUCAGGUACUUGUGAGACACGAAAUACAAUCUAGUAAGUCCAGUUUGACACGCAUUCGUGAAUUUGAAGGCUUCUGAAAUGCCAAAGCACUUUAUGAUACUCUUUAUGAUAGGAUUUUGCAACUCUGGAAAAUGAUGCUGCUGGCAACUUAUACAACUUUAGUUGUGACAGGCCAACGCAAAUAAACCAAAUAAAGUUGCAAAACUUUAGGCAGGUUAAACUUUUUGGGGUUUUUUUGCCAGAGCCCUCUGCUGUGGCAUCCUUGCUACACAGCCCUGCCCCCCUUCCAAAGUUGUCUGACAGUUUGCCAGAAUCUCUUUGAGGCCUACAAAAGUUAUUUUCAAUGGCCUCACCAAAUUUCUCACAUACUCAAGUUUUUGCAUCUGCAACCACAGAAGCUGCAGUCCUUCCAGCUUCCUGAUAUCUCUUUACCAAUUCAGGAGUUCCACAGGCCAGCCAAGCUUGAAUGACCAUCUCCGAAGCCCAAUGGCUUCCUUCACUGCUGGUGUCCACCAAAUGGUUCUUGGGUUACAGAUGUGACACUGAUAUCCUUCUGACCACAACUUCUUCAAGAAGUCAUAUCAACAUUGUAGGCUUUGAACAUGGCCCACUUGGAUUAAAUGUCCCCAUCCUCCCCUGGGAUAUGGAAAAUAUUUCUCAGGAGGUGAGAGUUGAAGACCUUGCAAACAGGGCCCUCUGCCAGGUGUUCCUACUUCACCCUUUUGGAUAGUCAGUGUCUAGCACAGAAGUCCAUUAACAAAGCACCACUGUGGUUCAGAUUAGGCAGGCCCUUCCUCCCAAUCAGCCCCAUUCAGGUUUCUCUGUUGUUGCCCUUAUGAGAUUUGAAGUCUUCCAGCUAUGGAGUCCCCAAGCAGUGCCCUCUUCAGGACCCCACUCAGAGACUCCAAGAAGGCCAGGCCUAGCCUGACCAGGCCCGAAGGGUGCAGACCUGCCCCUCCCCCAUAGCUGGAUUCACAGGGACAAACAAAACCCUCCACUACAAUAAGGUUUACAUUACACAUGUAACCCACAUCAUCCUGGGUAGUCCUAGUCCUUGUAUGUCCAAGAAAAGGAUUGAGUAAAAUAAGCCCUAGCUUCCAGUCCUUGCAGAGAAUGGCUCAUGGGUGGGAUUCAUACUUCCAUAACAUUCCACCUCUAUCAUCGGAUCCAAGCACUUUGAGAAGGACAUCAGAGUCAGAGGGAAGUCUUUCCCAACAUAUAGAGAACCUCAUUGGACAUCAUGACUUUUCCGGCACAGUGGCUUCACAUGAAGCCCCUGCAACAAACUCAAACUUCAACAUAAACUAUUACUCAAAUCCCAGUAUUGGAAAUUCCAGCUCAGACUGUGUUUAUCAAAGAUACUACAAGGAAACACCAUGGCAAGCUGAUGGAGAACAAAUUGAAAAUGAUUACUUGCAGAGAUGUGAAAAUAGUGAUAUCUCAGAUUUUGCCACAGAUGGAUUAUCGACAUCAGAAUCUUUUCCUUCAUCGUUUGCAACUGAUUUACAAGGACUUAAGCAAGACUGUGGAAUGCUAGCUACAUCAUUUCUUGAGGACUACUCAGAUGUCAGUAGCUGCUCGGAGGCAGAUGUCGGUGAAAGAAGGCCCUCUUGUAAAUUCAUGCCAAGUAAUUCAGUUCCAAAACCUAAAACUGAUGUUACUAUAAAACACAACUCAUCAGAAUGGCUUUUCACUCAUACUGGAAAUGUGACGUUUCCGACUGAGAGUCUGUGCCCUAAUAUGUCAGAGACUAAUGUACUUUUGCCAAGUCCAUCAAAUGUGAAGGCAGGAGAAAACAUAGUUGAAUGUACACAAAACAAGAUGGAAAAGCCAGAAAACACUGUUAAAUCUUAUGCAGGACACGAUCAGUCCCCUACUACUGCUAACAUGGAGGCAACUACAGGGAGGGAGACUGUAGAGGAUAGAAAUGAUUAUGAUGGUUGUCAAGCUCAGAAACAAAAGGAAGAUGUGGAGAGAGAUCUCACUCAAGGAAAAUAUUCAAACAUCUCGAUAAGUGUCCAUGACAACUUGACUGGGGAUGGAAUAGAGGAGUACCCAGAUGGCAAUAAGGAGGAGCAGAUCACUGCAACUGCUCCAAAUAUCAUGACUACAUUUGACAGUGAGCAAGAUCACUUAGAUGAAAAAGUCCUAAGAAAGGAAAUUAAGGAAUCAUUUGACCAAGAAAAUGAGGGAUUUGAUAAUGGCAACUCCACAGAUGGUCAAGAUAGAAAUAUGAGAAAGGACGAGCAGGACAAAAGUGAAGUCCUAAAAGGGGAAAGCCAAGAAUCAGGUUCAUUAGAAAAUGAGAUUUUUGAUGAGAAGAAAUCCCCUAAUUCCAACCCCACUGAUGGUCAAGAUGAAAAUAUGGUAACCGAUUGUCAGGAGGAAGAAACUCGGUCAAAUACUUCUCAAUCUUCAGCUCCACUGGGUAUCAAGGUGUCCGAUUGUAAAGAUGCUACUCAUGAACUGAGUAAAUGCACAAGCACCUUGAAAAGCAACAGUCAUGAAGUUGAAUCCUGUUUGCAGUUAUCUGAGCAUCAGUCUUACGAAAGUGUAGCUCAGGACAAUAUUUGUUGGAGCCCUGCUGUGACGAGGGAUAGUCAUUUCAGCGAUGCCAGUGACAAGAAUGAGCAAAGUGUUACAAGUCAUUCAGAAUCCUGCUUACAGUCAAAUGGCUCCAGCACAGACUUAAAUACCUGUCUAGAAAAAGAAUGGACAAGUGCAGCAGAGAAGACAAAUGCCACUUUAGAUCCAGAUUUUCAUGGUCCUGGUGUCACUAGUGACUGUCUUUCUAUUGAUACUAGUGACAAGAACGUAGAAGGUGUUGCUAGUCAUGUAGAAUGCUUACAGUCAAACAUCUCCAGCACAGACGGUAAUCCCUGUCUAGAAAAGGAAAUGACAAGUCUGCCAGAGAAGAAAACCACAACCUUGCCUACAGAUCCAGAUUGUAGAGGCCCUGCCGUGACUAGUCACAGUAAAGAACAAAGUGUUUCUAAUAGUUUAGAUUCCUGCUUACAGUCAAACACCUCAAGCACAGACAUAUUUCCCUGUCUAGAAAAGGAAAUGACAAGUCCACCAGAGAAUACAAACACAACCUCUUCUCCACAUCAGCAACAGUCACUACAUCAAAGUCCAAUGGCCCUACAACCAGAAAGUCCUAGUGGAGAUGUUGCUGAAAGCGCAAGAGAGUCAUUUGAAGAGUUGGACACAUCUACAGAGGAACCGUCAGUGCUUGGCAUGCUGUAUGGUGAACCUCUGUCAAGGGAAGACUCAUGUGACACUGAUGAAACAAAACUUGAAACAAGUCAAUAUAAAGACACUUCUGUGGCCAGACCUGACAGUAACAGCAUGAACCAUUCAGAAGGACAAGCACCUCAACUAAAAUCCUCUAUACAAAUGAGAAAACGUCUGCAGCCUGUUGUAAUAUUGAAGACCAUCGAGUCAGUGAAUGGAAUGAGUAACUCAUAUCAUUGCGCAGAUUGCCACCACACAACCCACAAUGUAGAUCAUCUAAUUGAACACCACCAUUGUUGCCAUUCAGUGUACAAUUUCCAGUUUUGCAAGACUUGUAACCUCUACCUGAUGAGGAAUGAACAAGCAGAAACACAUGUGUGUGGUGUAAGCAAAGAAAGCCCUCAGCUCCCUUCUAAUUCCCGCCUACAGAACAAAAGAAAACGCCACGGCCGCCACAGGUGCAUUAGGUGCGGACUAAAAUUUUCAAAACUAUUUCAGUAUAUCAAGCAUAUGCGGACUCACACUGGCCAAACACCCUAUAAGUGUAAUGGAUGUGGAUUAUAUUUUUCACAGACUAGUACCCUGCAAAGACACAAGCGUAUACCAGGUAGAUGCAAGCAGCCAAAACUUCCAGUUACAAAUUCUGAUGCUGUUGUCAGCGAGACUAAAACACCACCACAAAAAGACUUGGUACCAAACAAACCAUAUCCAAACCUGCCUGAGUGUUACGUAAAGCUUGUUGACAUCUCCAAAACUAAUCUGUGUAGUGUAUGUGGUAAAAGCUUCUCAACUACAGAGAAGGCCAAAAAGCACUUCUACAACAUACACAAGGGAAAGAGUUUGGCAGUUUCGCCAAGUCAGUGUACCACAAACCUCAGUGGUGAGAAAAGUCAAAACAUAGAGAAUGACACAAGAGGAAAAUAUAAAUGUCCUCUUUGUCCACGGCUUUUCAAGUACUCCUACAACAGGGCUCGACAUUUGCGUGACUGUGUCAGGUAUUCAAUAUGUGGUGGCAGGGAAAAAAUUGGUAAUAAAUAUCGGUGUCCCUUGUGCCACACUACCUUCACUUUGCCAUCCAACCGACAUAGACAUAUUCAAACAUUUUGCCUCAGAGAAUGUGUUAAUCGGCUUGCAAAAGAGAGGGCAAAAUCAAGGCAAAAUGUUGAACAGAAAAAAACAAAGGAAAUUGAGCAGAAAACACUGUCAAAGGAAAAUGAACAGAAAAAGCAAGCACCCCCAGCUUUAACUGACUCUAAGCCUGUACCACGUUACAAAUGCAAUCUUUGUCCAGCAGUUUUUUGUUAUGCUUCUGGAAAGUACAGACAUAUGAAAAAACAUGAGUUGUUUAAACUCACUGGCAAAAUGUUCAGGUACAGGAAUUCAGUUUUCUCUACCAUGUCUAAACCAGCAACUUUAAGUAGUACAAAGACUGAAGAGAGUAAGAAUAACUUAAAAUCAACUGAAGCAAAUAGCAGUCGUGCCCUGAGCUGUCAGUUUUGUGGAAAAUGUUUCAGCAUCUCACAGUCACUGAAGAAACAUGAGCGCAAUCACCGAGGUGAAAGACCAUACCGCUGUCUGGAAUGUGGGAAAGGAUUCAAGAAACGUGCCCAUCUGAUUGGUCAUAAAAUCGUUCACCAGAGGAGGAUACAGUGCACUGUCUGCAGAAAGAUUCUUCCAAGUAUUGGAGAACUGAUCCAGCACAGAAGCUCACAUCAUAAAAGGGGAAAGCUUCAAUGCCCAGACUGCCAUCUGCAGUUCCAGUAUCCUGCACAUCUGCUUAGGCAUCUGGAUGCCCACAGAAAUAGAGAAAACAAGGCACCUCAGCUUGAAGAGAGGCCACCAUUACAACCACAGCAGUCCUUGGAAUCUGUGAAAGAGCAGAGUGGACCAAAGCAGCUACAGUGUUCCUUAUGCAAAGAGGUAUUUAAUGAUGCCCAAGUGCUAAGAAAACAUUGUCUUACACAUAUAUCUGGGUCCUCGUCAAACCAGUGUCCUUUUUGCAAACAUAAUUUCAGUAAUCGCCGCUAUUUGCUACGCCACAUGAUCAAACAUACUGGAGACAAACCCUUUUCCUGCACAAACUGUGGGAAACAAUUUUACCGUGACUUGUACCUUAAACUUCACAGCGAGAAGUGUUUGCAUGCUCAAACUAGACAUAUUGUCACAAUGGAGUCUGACACUAAGCCAAAUGGGAAACAUCAGUGUUCCUAUUGUCCACGGGUGUUUACUAAGAAAAUCCGCCUGAAAAAUCAUCACCGUGGUCACAAAACAAACUCUCUGCUUCUAUGCUCAAGAUGUGGACUGUACUUUGGAUUUAGAAAAUUAAAUCAACAUCAGAAGAACUGUGGAGGAACUACAGAGCUCAACACUGGCUUAUCAUCUCCUAUUGGCGAUGUCAGUAAUAGCAUUUUACGGCCAAGCCAGAAUGUCCAUAAAAUGCCUUUAGAGUCCAAUGCAACCAAGAUUCUUCAGUUUAAAUGCCCUCACUGUACACAGAGGUUCAGGUACAGAUCGUUACUCUUGAGGCACCUAGUUUCACAUACUGGUGUGCAACCAUACGCAUGUAUACACUGCGGCCACAGAUAUAGAAGUCAAACAGUAUGUUUGCAGCAUGAGGCUUUGUGUCAUGGUGUUUAUGAAGAGGGGCAGUCAGAAGUCAGAAGCGAUGCUGUAACACAAUUGUCAAACAUGCCUACUCUCAGAGAAGCAGCACAAAAGCCCCAAGCAGACGGUGAAGCUGAGUACAAGUGUAAAUUCUGCACCAAGACUUUCAUGAAAUCACGAAACCUGAGACGUCACAUUUUGACACAUAACGAAGUGAAGCCUUAUCGCUGUAAAGCCUGUGACAGCUGCUUUUCAAGGUAUGAUCAUCUGAAAGUACAUCAGACUCGUUGCAAAGGGAAAAGACCACGAUUGGAAGUCUGUAUUCCCAAAAUCAGUUUAGAUGAUGUUGGCAAGGGUUGGCAAAAUAAGUUUGGCAUUGUGCCUGCUAAAAAGCAGGAGACAUUCGAGUGCGAAGUCUGUUCAAGGAGCUUCUCAACUCAGUCUAAACUUUCCCGACAUGACACUAUGUUCCAUGUUACAAAAUUAUUCAAGUGCACACGCUGUGGCUCGUCAUUCGCUCAUGAAAAAUCUCUGAAAAAGCACAGAAAGAUGAACAAGUGCAGAAAGGUCUCCAAAGAAACAAAUGCUUCUCUACCACUGGGAACUAAUCCACCCACAGAAAAUGUGACAAACCUGCUUGAUGGGGUGAGAAAUCGUGUACUUGAGAGGAUCCAGCCUUAUUUUAACAAAAAGUACAAAUAUGUAUGUAGUUACUGCCCCCGUGCUUUUGGAAACAGCUGGCAAUUAGGUGUGCAUACCCGCCUGCACACAGGAGAGAAGCCAUAUGCCUGUGAUUAUUGUGGUCAGAGAUUUAUAAGGAAGGAUUAUUUACAGCGUCAUUUCCCAAAGUGCACCAAGAAACAGCAGCAAAAUAAAGUGCUCUGUGACAGAUGUGGAGGAUUUUUCUCUCAAGUCGAGCUUGAAAAUCACAAAAAAAGUUGCACUUCAACAACAAGCUUAUCAAAGUCAACAGUUUGCCAACCAUCAACCUCUCAAGGCCCACCAAAAGGUUUUUCUUGUGCAUACUGUAGUUCCCGCUUUUUGCUGUUUUCACAGCUCCAAGAGCAUUUUUUAAAUGCACACAAGAUGGAAACAAUGGUUCCACCAGUGGCUACUGCUCCCCUACAACACCAUCUGUCAAACAUACCAAACAUCAAAGAAGAGCCUUUGGAUGAGAGCUGUGACGAACGGCUAAGUGAUGGUGCUAAUCUAAUCUGUAAACUAGAUACAGCUCUUGAUAGGGAGGUCUCCAAACCAUUUUCCUGCCCAGAGUGCAAUAUGUCCUUUGCAAAUAAAGCUGGACUAACUGGUCAUCUGCGUGUACACACAAUGGAGCAUCCUUUUAACUGUAAAACGUGCAAGAGAGGCUUCUGGAAUAAAAGUCUUCUCCGAAAUCACUACAGGAAAUGUAGAUUUGGACGUAUUUCAGAGAGGAAUACAACCCAACAGUUGGAAGUCCCUUUGAAAGCAGAAAUUGAUUUUGCGCUGAAUGACUCUGUUCUAGUGUUCAAAGAAGGCUCCAAAACAACUGGCACUGGGGUUUUGCAGACCAACUUCUCCUGCAAAGAAGACUUUAUGGAUGAAUCCCCACAAAAAUCAGAAGGAAAUCAGGUCCAAGGCAGCUCAAGUAAAGAGAAGAAAGCUGUGCAGUACCAAUGUUCAGAAUGUGAUAAGAGCUUCACAGAUGGCUUAAUGCUCAUUAGUCACCUUGAAGACCAUGGAAGAGAGGAACAAGAGAAAAAGCGCAAUACAUGUGCUAGAUGUGGGCGGGUGUGCACUAGCCAAGGAAAUCUUGAAAAACACAUGAGGAUGCAUGGAAAUAAUAAGAAAUACUCUUGCCCUGACUGUUCCACAAUGGUUUACACCUUAUCUGAUCUUGAAAUCCACAGAACAUGUCAUGACCCAAACAGACCUUUUGCUUGUAAACUGUGUAAUCAAAGGUUUUGGACAAGACCGUCUUUAUGUAAUCAUUGCAGUGAAUACCAUCCAGACGAUGUAUUUACUUGUCGUUUCUGUAACAAGACCUAUUCAGUCAAAAAAUCACUGGCAAGACACUAUAGAAAAUGGCAUCAAAAAGAGCAGAAGGAUCAUGGGAGUACUUUACAGGAAAAGAGUAGCACUGAACAACAAUCCAGCUUUCAAGCCAGUACAACUGGUGAUAGUGAUGAGGAUGAAAAUAAUGGCAGUGAGGACAGCGACUCAGACUCUGCACCAUACUUCCCGUGCCAUGUGUGUGGCAAGACAUUCCCAACAUCAGAAAGUCUUGAGGAUCAUCAGCGGUGUCACUUGGGGGAAAAACCACAUGAAUGUGCAGAAUGUGGUAGAUGUUUUUUCCAGGCAUCCCAGUUGCAGCACCAUCAACGAAUGCACAAGUCUGAAUUUCAGUGUCAGGCAUGCGGCAGGGGUUUUGUCUCUCUCUUUGCAUUGCGUAAACAUAAGCAUUCUCAUGGAAAGAGCCGUCCAUACCGUUGUUCCAAAUGUCACCUCAGUUUCACAGGACCCUCACAGUUAGCAGAACACAUGUCCACCCACCGUGAAGAGAACUUCCCAUGCGACAUAUGCAAUCAUGUGUUUCUCUCCAAGAGUAGUAGAGCUGAGCAUCGGAAAAGCCACUCUAAGUUAGAUGACCGUCACCCAUCUUCAACUUCAAGGGAAGAAAAUGAAAAGUUUGCGUCACUCUCUGAAAGCUCAUCAGUAUUCAACAAAGAACUCAAAUAUCGCUGUGGUGUUUGUAGUGAGCGUUUCAGAGACCCAGAGGAGCUCUCAGAGCAUGGUUGCAUGGCAGCCAAAGAGCGACCAUACUCAUGUUCAGACUGCGAUAAACAUUUUCUGCAUGCAUCUCACCUGAAAAAGCACAGGACCACCCACCAACUAUCAUGGUCUAGAAGUGAAUAUCCAUGUAAUCAAUGCAACAAUAGUUUUUCCUCCUCUCAGCACUUCCUCAGCCAUCUUGUGAGCCAUGUUGAUACGACAGCAGAAAUUAAACAUAACGCUGAAGGUAAAGAUGGAGGCCCUUCACACGGUUUCAUAUGUCCAGUUUGCCAUCGGUGUUUUGCCAGUGCUACUGAAUUGAUUGGUCAUUUUCCCAUACAUCCUGAUGGUACAUUUGAAUGCAAAACUUGUAAAAUGAUAUUUCCCUCUGGAAGUAAGCUGGAAGAACAUGAGCACCGUCAUCUGACAUCAGCUACUGAAUUUGAAUGCACCAAAUGUGGCCAGAGCUUUUUGGGAAACAAUGCUUUCCACCAGCACCGCUGUUCUCGUCAACAGCACGCAAUAAUGGAGACUGAAUACUCAAAUCCAUCCGCUAAGACAUCCAUUCCAACUUAUCAAGCAGCAGGAGAGGAGGAGGAGAUUGAUGUUACCGGAGAGGACUUGUACCAUUGCCCUGUUUGCUCAAUGCAGUUCUCCUCAAAAAGCAGUCUCUUGGAGCAUCAAAAUAAACAGCACCCACAUGAGAAACCAUUCAGAUGUGAGCUUUGUGGAAAAACGUUUGCCGUAAGGCGGUACCUUAGAGAGCACGAGCGAAGGCAUCGUCAAAAAUUUGCUGCUCAAAACACAGCUCAAUUGGCCAACAAGAAGCUCAAAUGUACCCAGUGCCACACCGAAUUCAAUACAACACAAGAUCUGUCUUUUCAUAUGAGAUUGCAUGCUGAAAAAGAAAUUGGAGAGUACCGCUGUGAUAUGUGUUACAAGUCAUUCAGCCAGUGGUCACUUCUUAAGCAGCACCAAGAAAGUCAUGUCGGUCAAGUCGUAUAUGAAUGCACAGAAUGUGACAAAGCCUUUGCUUUUCCUCACCUACUGGAGGAACAUCAACAGACUCAUGCUGGGUCCUCUCAGUAAUGGUUGUUAGAUAAGAUCUCCCUUCCCUUUGAGUAACUGUAACUAAAAUAACUUGAAAUCCCUUUCAUGCCUUACAUCUGACUGAGUACCUCCACUUGUACUCACAAUUUAGAUCCAAUUAGAAUUUUUGGCCCUUGUUGCAUACUUACACAGCUAUUGGCUUGUGUCACUAUGUCGGGCAUCUUCUCCUAAGUUUACAACUAAUUUACAUUGUAUAUAUGUUUAGUUCUAAUAUUGGAAUUUGUAUAGCGUAAAUUAGCCACAUAGUUUCUUGACAGCAGUAACAAAAUUGUGUAAAGGUGUUAGAUAUUCUGUGUAUUGAAUACAGACAAAGCAUGAUGGGAUAAAAUGUUUAUGAAAUGUCUUGGAUAAAGGCAUAAGUUUUUGAUCAAAUGAUCAUUUUUGAUGUUUGACAUUUAUUUUGAAAUAGUUUUUAGUCAGUUUUGUUGACAAUAUGUAAGAUAGAUUCAAACUGGUUAUUUUAAUCUAUUGGUAUUUUGUAUGACUAUACAUGUACUAUAGAUAAUUUUGUAAUUUUCAAUUUAACAUUUCUCAAUGUUUCUCAUGGGUUGCAUUUUUGAUAUCGCUAAGCAUCUUGUACAGACAUUCGAAAGAUGUUCUAAUUGAAUAUUCUUUUCACAACCCAAGGAUGUUACUUUCUUAAGAAAUUUGAGUUGAUGCAUUCAAUUAAGGAGUAAAGUCAACUAGAAAAUCUAUGUGUGGGUCUUGUUUGUAUUUCUGUGUACUUUGGGGGAUGCUAACAGAAAGAAAGCUAUGAACAUGUUGGCUUGUUAUGAAAAGCCUCAGUUUAUUUAAAUAAAAUAGUUGAUUUAAGAAGUUCACCAACCCAAAUUAGAGCUAACAUGAAACCUGUUUCUGUGAGUCAAGAUAACAGAAGGUACAUCACUUUAAAUCACAGACCUGAAGAAGUGGAAGUAAGAGCCAGCUCCUAGUAUGAGGAAGGAAAAUACUGUUUUUUAAAAAGUAAAUACUACUGCCACAAACAAAAACAAUACAUAUUUUGCGUAGUGUACAUCAACAGUGUGAUCUACAGGAGCACAAAUCUAGCCACUAUCCUGAAUUUGAGACCAGUUGUGUGCUUACUAGAAGUGCUAAAAGUCAGCUUAUGGGUAUAUAAACAACAUUGAAGUAAGAUAUAAUUGUUUGCUUUUACUAGAAACCACAAAAAAUGUUGGAAAAAAAUCCAUUAUAUGCCAGUAUGCCAUUUGGUAGAUGAAACAUUCGCCAUAUGGUGGAAGUACACAAGCAGUGUAGCAGAUCAGUGGUUAGUGGUCCUGGUCCUGGUUUGAAUCAAGCAGAUGUCUGGGGCCAUUCUGGGUGGAGUUUGCAUGUUCUUCCUGUGUCUCUGUGGGUUACCUCUGGUUUCCUCCCACAGUCUAAAGACAUGUAGGCCUAGGUCAGGUGAACUUAAAACUAAAUUCAGUGGCUGUCUAUGUGUCUGCUCUGUUGCUGGCAACAUGUCCAGGGUGUACCCUGCUUCUCAUCCAAUGUAUUCUGGUAAAGGCUUCAGCUCCUGGAUGCCAUUUAGAAGUAGAUUUUAUGGUAAUGCCCAUAGUCAUUGUUUAAGAUGAUCUUUGUUUGGGGUUUUCAUUGCAAACAGAAUUCUUAUUAAAAUACAUAAAUCAAUAAAAUGUAUUUUUCAUGUACAUUUUAAAAUAAAUCUAAAGGAAUGAUACAAAACUGAGCUUUUUGUAUCAGAAUCAGGUUUAUUGCCAAGUAGUUUUCACAUACAAGGAAUUUGCCUUGGUAUAUUUGGUGCAUAACAACAAACACGGUAAGUAGAAAAUAUAAGAUGAAAGCAAGUACUUCCGGUCAAGAAGCAUAAAUAUAAAAUUGACAAUAAAAUAUGAAAAAAUAUUUUAAAUACAAUAUGUACAAUAUGACUUAAUUUAAAUGAAAGAUCUAGGUGUGUAGACUUUAUGUUAAUGUAACAUGUAGUGUGGGGUGUAUGAGAGUCAGAGCCAGCUGCAGACAGAAAGAAAAUGUUUUUGUGGCAUGAGGUUUUGGUCCAGAUGGAUCACAGCCUCCUGCCGGAGGGGAGUGUGUGAAACAGUUUGUGUCCAGGGUGGGAGGGGUCAGUCACAAUCUUUCCUGCACGCCUCAGUCCUGGAGGGAUGGCAGAUUGCAGCCAAUCACCUUCUCUACGGAGCAAAUGAUAUGCUACACUCUGCCCUUGGCAGUGGCUGCUGCGUACCAGAUGGUGAUGGAGGACUUGAGAAUUGUUACUCUCCAGACAAUAAAUAGGUAAUCUGAAUCAUAUCAAACUGUGAUCGUUUUAUUAUAAAAAACAAUUAAAACAAAUUUUAUAUUAUUCAUAUAUUCUGAUUUAUGGUCAUAGUAUAAUGAAAUGCAGAACUGCUGGUGCAUAAAACACUGCUUCAGUCUGGACAGAUGAUCCUGACUGAAGCACCUGCUCAGCCUCACAGAGCGUGCCAUAGCAGGUUGGUUUCAGGCCAUUAGUUGUAGUUAUUCCCCCAUCAUCUCUGUCCCACUAAUGAAGUUUACAAAGACGUUUGCAGUUGUCUCUGUGUACUUCACUUUGCUGGGGCCACAUCUAUUUGUUGAUUUGAGUAAGUUCAGGUAAAUCACAAGAUCAAAGGCUAGUGAGUUGCCUUUAGUGCCAGUGACUCUCUCAACCAAUCCAUUAGUCCCUGCCACUGACGAGCACAAUCCUGAUGCACUGGACUAGAUCAGGAAGCAUGGACCCAAGAGCAGCCCUGUGAUCUUCCCAAGCAGGAGGAAGAAAUUGUAGGGAAACAGAGAAAAUGUCAGUCCACUCAGUGAAGAGUUACCUAUUGAAUAUUGACUUCUUUGCAAAAUGUUCCUUUAUGAAGAGAAGUUUUAGAGAGAAGUUGCUGCAGGGAAUUCUACCUCUUGUACCACUAUGUGUCAUCAGUGCUUCUUUGAGUAUAUUGAAAUAGAUGUAGUCUGGCCAGCUAAGUAACAAGUUCAUACUCACUGUGCCACGAGAUAUACUGUGUUCUUCCCUUUAAGAGAAGUACUAGCCAAGAUGUGCUUCAGCUACUGUAUUCUGGGGGGGUUUCUCAGCUGUAAAGACCAAGGAUUCACCUUCAUGGCUCACACCAUCAAGAGUGAAAAGAACUGGCAGCAAUAUGGUCCUUAACUUUGAACCUCUUAAAACCUGCCAUUCAGAGGACCAGUGGUGUAACUGCAUGAGAUGUGGGAGUAGUCUGGGAAAGUAAACAACAUGAAUGUCAUCUCCAUAUUCUGAAAAUGUAGAUACAGUUCAUAAACAUAUUCAGCCUGGCUGAGGUGCUGUGAGUCAGAGGAAGUCCUGUUGCCAAUACCAGAGCACAAAUUCUUGGGAAAAUGGCUCAGCCCUCACCAAAUCAAGCGAAACACAAGUUCUGUGGCAUACUAGAUCCACAUUCCAGAGAGGUGGUGGUCCUGGGCAGUGCACAUCCCAUGCCAAUUUGUAUUGUUUCCAGUUAGGAUGAUGUUUCCAGCUUGCUAUUGCUCCUCUAUAAAAGUUAAGAAGUACUUGUGCGGGACUUUUGCCUUCUUAAGUUUCCUUAAGAAAUACUGCCGUUGCUUUACCAGGGUGAACAUGUGACAUGUCCAUGACAGGUUCUCUGUGAUGCCGAUUCUCAGGAACCAAAAACUCUUCACUCGCUCCACCUCAGCUCCACUGAUGUAGACAUGGGUGUGUGUUUUUGCCUCCUUUUUCCUAAAUUCAAUGAUCAGCUCCUUGGUUUUGUUGAAACUGAGCAGUAGGAUGUUCUCUGUGCAUCACCCUGCAAGAUUGUUUAUUUCCUCCAGAUACGAAGUCUCAUCGUUGUUUGUAAUUUGGCCGAUGAUGGUGGUGUCAUCUGCAAAAUUGGGUGGGUGUACGGGGGUCUAUUUGUGAGGAAGUCCUAUAUCCAUUUGCAGACUGUGGUACUCAAGCCCAGAGUGCUGAGCUUGCCAACCAAUUUCAUGGGGGUGGUUGUGUUAAAUGUUGAGCUGAAAUCAACAAACAGUAUUCUGACGUGGGUGUUGCUAUUUUCAAGAUAAUUUUUGCAGUACUGAACAUUACUGACUGGUCAAACACAAACCUCGAGACUGCAGCACUAUAUAGAAACUGCAGUUCAAUCAGGAGAGACAAGUGAAUAAAGUAAUGAUAGUAUUUAUUUAAACAGAUGUUGUGAGGUGUUAAACUUGACAGAGUCUUUGGCGCUUAGACUCUGCGGGGGGAGAUUUUGGUGGUGGAGGGUGUCUGUCCUGAGCAGCAGCAGAAUAAAUCCCCCUGUGGAGUCCAGACACUGGUGAUAUUGGUGGCUGAGGCUGAUGGCUGAAGAGGUUGAUGGAAUGAUGAGCUGAUGGAUCUGCGGCGGAGAUGGGGAAGUGGAGGGUCGCACAACCGUUGCAUGAACGUACUGAAAGCAGAGAGAGAAUCAUAUUUAAACAGACAGUAGUAGGAUGAUGGAUUGACAAUGAAGGUGUGUCACAGUGCUAUUGCAUAGAUGAGACCAGCUGAUGUCCCAAUUUGAAAGCCUCAGAUAAUGACAGCAGGAAAUAUAAGUGAACAUGUGUGAGGAGUGAAUGGCAGAAUGGAAUCAGAAUUACUACGCUUAAGCAUGCGGAGGUCUACUCUUGCUGACUGAACUUAUGCUAGAGCUCCAUUAGUUAAUUUUCUUCUUGGUCAACCUUACAGUUGACAUGCAAAUGUGUUUCCUCAAUUAAUUUCAUUCAUUUUUCUUCACCUUGCUGUUGGAGCCAGCACACUGGCUGAGCAAAGAAGAUAUAUCCAUGGAUGUGGAGCUGCACCAUAGUAAACACUCACGUCCUUAGUGCAGAACCUUUCUGAAUAUGUUCUACCUGUCUAUUUUUGUCUGCACCAUCUUUUAAGCUGUUAUUUGAAGGUCGUGCUACAGGCUAUUACCAAUCAUGAACUUCACAGCAUAUCUCAACCACUCCAUAGCACUCUAAUCAGCCAGAAGAGGGGUUUUAGUCCUGAGGCUCCAGGGAACAAUGUGAGUCAUUCAAUUCUUUCCGGGCCUGGAGAGAAGAGUUGUACAUAUAAGUCUGUAUAUAUGUCUUUGCAAUAUUGUAUAAAUGUUACGUUCUCAUCUGAAGAGAUUGAGCAACUGGUCAACAGGGGAAUAAGAGAACUUAAAUCACAUUCUGGCUAUUUAUUAAGUCUGUCAUUACCAUCAUUGCCUUGUGACUGCCAGAGGGAAAUUUCUGAAAGACGUAAUUGCCCAGGUGAGCAACAGAUGCUUCUUCUCGUCUGUGAAAAAGUGAAAAUCUGGUUGAAAAUCUAAUGAUUACAGUUAUGUGUGUAGUAAGCUUAAUAAAUACACCAUCAGUUUACCCUAUUAUUGAUGUACUUGGUUUUGUUUUAAAUAUACCAUGGCUUAUCCAAGAAAAGAAUGCAUAUAAUUGGGAGUUUUUAGUAACUUCCCAGACUUUUCUCAAGACCAAGGAGAUGUCAUCCUUACAUUGUGUGCUAAAAUCUUCUUCAGGGUUUCCUCCCAAUUGGUCAGUACCACAGCAGGUCAAAGAAGGUGCCCUAACAACUUCACCUGGUUCCUUUAUGGCUCUGGUCUCUCCUCACCACAACACAAGGAAAUGAUACAAUGACUGCCUUACUGAACCUGCUGCUGAAUGGUGGUUACUCCUUCAAAACUUACCCUCAGUCAUGAAUAAGACCUCAACAUACCUGAACUCCUCCACUUGGGGCAGCUGCUCCAUUUUUAUAUUUACAGACAGCCAACUAGCUGACUUUAACCCUCUGGGGUUUAAAGGCACUUGCAUAACAUGAUACCCAUGUUCUAUAUCUAAAUGUGCAGAAAAACCUCAGCUCUCUGUAUAAUGAGGGACUUGUCCAAUUGUCCUAGAGCAUUGUGUAAAGAGAUAAGUUGGCCCUAAAGAUGAAUAGUUAAAGUCUGAUUUUUGAAAUUCUUCAAAUCUCUUGUGAAAACAUACCAUUACUCAUGUGGACAAAUUGUUUUGGUGAUUGAAAUGGGUUUACCAAAGGUUGUCAAAAGUAGUGGAAUAUAUGAAUAAAAUAGUAGAUAAAUGCAUAAUAAAUGUCUAAAGACAUUUUGUAAUAUCGUUUUUUGAGUACAAAUGUUGUCAGUGACUCUACUUUCACCAAAUGUUAGACGGACUGAGAUAAAAUGGGACUGAAUAAUGACUUCUUACAACAUAGCAUUACAACAGUUUUUUCAAACCAAAUAUUUACUAUGUACUGUAUAUAAAAACACAGAAAAAACACUAUUUACAAUAUUUACAUAAUGUGCAUGUUUCAACUGUCAUGCCAUGCUGAAAAACAGUUUCUGUCCAGCUGUAUGCAGAGGGCAACAUCACACUGCAUGUAUUUCCAUGGUGUGUCCUUUCACUUGCCUUGGCUUUGGCAAUGUUCACAUCUCCUGCUACCCGUGGUGGCUUUCGUGCAGGGGCCUGCUGCAUGGACAUCAGCAAUAGGUACAGGAAGAUGACCUGCAGGUGCCCGGGUAGGAGCUGUGCGGAGAAGCUUGCCACAGAGCUCUGCAGUCAGCUCUUCCAUGAAAGCUCUUUGUGUCAUGGGUUUUGUUUUCUUGGCAAGACAGAGUUCCUUGUGGAGAAUAAAGCUGUUGGGGGUGGCAAUGUCCAGAAAAUGCUAGAACAGGUUUCUGUACCAAGGCAUGGUUUUGUGUUGUGCAGAGUAAUACUGAAUGAGCUGAUCUGAUCGAUCAACUCCACCCAUGAGUUGAUGGUACUCUGUAACUGGUGUGGGACAAGGGAUUGAUACCUUUGUCCACGAGCCAUCUCGUUGUUUCACCCUCCUCUGCACAGUUUUGCCGGAGUGUGCUGUGUAUACUUCCCUCGUGGCCAUCCAUUUCACAUAGAUGAGGGGGCCAUCCUGGAUCCAUCUUAUGGAGCCUCUUUCUGACUUUCUUGUGAGGGCCUUCAGUUCUGUCCUAGGGCAGUCCUUGUGGUUCUCCCUGUAGGUCCCACAGGCAGCAAAUCUUUGCUCAUGGAGAGCCCUGAAGAGCUUGGGACUGGAAUAAAAAUUGUCCAUGUAAAUGUGGUAGCCUGUGCAAAGGUAACCUGGUUGCACCAGGGACAUCACAACAUCGUAGGACAGGGCAUGUCCAGGGGGAUGUCACUUUUCCCAGUGUAAAUGGAAAAUUCCACUGUGUAGCCAUUCCUUGAGUCAGCCCAGAAAAAACUUGAAUCCCCACUUUGUGGGUUUUCCCUUCAUGUACUGCGUCAUCCCAGUUUAGCCUUUAAGGCAACCAUUCUUUCAUCCACAGCCACGUCUCUGUGGGGAUGAUAAAAUGUCUUGCACGCAUUCUUGAUGGUGUCCAUUAGAGGUUUUAGUCCGAAGAGUUUGUCAUGGUCGGCUGUGCCCUUCGUUAUGGACAUCCUCAUCAGGGUCACUAAGAUUAAUUAUUGCUCUGUAUCUGUCCCAUGGCAUGAUCUGUGAUGGAAGUGGCAAAGAAAAAAGGUGAUUCUGCCUCCAGUAAUCUGCAAUGCUGUCAAGUUUCACCAUGGCCAUGUACAGAAGCAGCCCAAUGUACUUGUAAAAAUCCCCUGUACUUUUUCCCUGCUUGUUUAGCAGCGUGCUUGUUUGUGUUUUGACACAAUGAAAAGUUUGACCAGGUCGAGGGGUGUAUAUGUGGAGGUGGAUUUGAGCUGUGGACCUGAUGGCUGAGCUGGUUGAAACCUGGAGACAGGGAGAGCAGUGUCCCGGUCUGUCUGUCUUCCAAGACAGAACUGGCUGCUGUGUAGGUGGAGGCGCUGGUACAUGGUGGUGGCUGUGGGGGAGGUGCUUGUGCUAAGGCGGCAUGGGACCUCUUGACUGGCCUGGCUGGUGAUGAUGGCUGUGGUGGUGGGGCUGGUGGUGACCUGGUGGCAGGCCGAGGUGAUACUGCCCGUGGUUCACUGGGCCCUGGGAGCACUGAAUCCUCUCUGAAAAACAACUUGUUUUGUACUGUCUUGAGGUGUCUUUAAAAACAGUUAAGUUAGCUGUCUUAGGUGCUCAUCCAGCACACUGUUUAGGGAGGCAACAAAAUCCACCAAUCCCCUGAAAAUGCCAGGGUUGUCCAAGGAGUCAGUCUCAUCAUGCCCUCGCAAGGCUGACUCAAAAGCCCCUCAAAAUUAACACAAUUGAUUAUUUUGAAUUAAAUGUGCCUGUUUAUCCACUUCCUCACUGUGUUUUUUUUCACUGCAAUCCUGUGGCUGUCAUCCAGCUACGUAGCAAUGUUUACUCUGCCUAAUGUGGCUAACAUUAGCUGGACAGAAUUAUCAAUGUGUGCCCUGGUGUUUUCAUGUUUCCUUACUUUCUUAGACGGGUGCUUUAUAUCCCUCACUCCUAUAACUGUCCAUUGUCCACUGGUCCUAUAACCACCAGCAUUAGCAUGACCGCAUCCAGCAAAGCCAGGCCUUUCUGGUGUACCAGCUACGAGAGAAGCCUUGCAUACAUUGCUUCCCUUUCUCGCUAGCCUGCUGUCUGAUUGCGAGGUCAGGUUGAUCUGGGCCCAGCUCUUUCACCUGUAGUUGUUCCGCCAAAAUUCUCCUCUCAAACGAAUCUUGGAGGAGAGAUUUUACCGAGUUAGGGUUCGGUCUUGGAGGAGUAUGUUAGUAACCGCACUCGCCAUUGUCAUGUAGUUAAAAUGUUGCCUGUAGAGUUCCUGACCAUAGACUGUAUAAAAGAAGGUCCUGACCUACUAGCAGUGGCUCACUUGGGGUGAUAAAAUAAUCGCCCUUUUCUGAUUAGAUUGGAGGACGCUGAUUGGCUAAAUUUUGUGUCAUAUGUUCUUAUCUUUGGCUAAACUGCUACACAGACCAUAGACUGUGUAAAACACAGACCUGCCUCCUGUGGGCGAUUUCUCCAUUGCCCCAGAGCUGCUGAGACAUGCAGACAGGCAGAGGGGAUGUGUAGGAAAUGCAUACAGUAUAUGUUGCAUAGAUGAUUUUCUAUCAUAUUUUACACAUAUUACUGGGUGCAUUCCAUAUUUCAAACACACAAAUAUGAUGAUUUGUUUAAUUUAUUAUUAUUGUUAAUGGGGUUUUUGUGUCUCAAGGGCUCAAGGAGGGCGCUGCCCUAGCACCCUCUAUUGGCCAGCUGCCACUGCAAGCUAGGCUGGUAAAGUGCAGCUUAUGUUGCCUAAUGGACAGUGCAAACUUAACAUUAGUCUAAGGCCAUUAUAGUGUUAGCUUUGUAUUAAUUAUCUUAAUGUGUGCCUGAACAUGUACCUUCAAAAAUAAUGAUACAUCAAAUAUUGUGAGGGGGUAAAAAAAAACGUUCAUUAAUUGAGUGAGGUCUGCUGUUGCACCCUCUUAGCAUAGGAUGCAUUCAGUGGAAAAAUUCCUCAGGAUUUGGCAUUUAAAGAGCCCACAGCACACACAUAGCACAAAUAACUUAUGUUUAUGCAAAAGAGUAAUUGCUGAAUGUGUAACGCUCAAUAAAGUUCCCGCAUUAAUUAUAGCAGUUUGUAUUCUAAUGGAAAAAGUUUUUCAGCAACAGAGCGCCUCACGUGACCUGCAAUUUCAACUGUGGCCACAGCGCCAAAUCGCGGCGCAGCCAUGGCGCAUAGCCCAGCGCUUUAUCAAGAAGCUCUGGUUAACUGCGCCUGCGCUGUGUAAUCUCGUGUCUGUGUCUUUCCGUUCCGCGCCUGCUGCAGCUGCAGCUCUCAGCUCAGCUCGGUGCUCUUGUUCCUGGCACAACAUCACAUUUGUUCACCAUAGAGCUGAGCAGACCCGCGUUUCCCUUGAGAGUGUAUGGCCUCUGCAUGGACAGAUGUCUGCGGAGCCAUUUCUUCUCCUCCGCCCAGCCAUUGUGGCUCCAGUCUGAGGGAUAACGUUGACGCUCCUGUGGUUGGAAACUUUCUUGCAUGACCACAACACCUGGAUUGCCUUGUACAUUUGGCUGCCAUGAUGCUUGGGUUACAGGGAACUACUUCGUCCUCCAAAGUGUAUCGUUGUGUGGCAUGUUCAGCCACCUUCACUGGAUUGGCGUCCUUGCUAGUACAUCAGGCAACCCAUGCCAGUGCGCUCUCCAAGGUCUCUGCCACUCCACAGCCUAACAUCAGCCCACAUGAAACACUGUUUGCAAGUAUGGACUCAUCCAGAGAGCAUCCCAGUCCACCGGCACUCUUGCCUGAGAGCCCUUCACCUUCUUUUUAUAUUUGUGAUUGUGGAGAGGAAUUUCAGGACUUCAAUCUUAUGUUGGAGCAUAAGCGUUCACAUGUUUCACAACUACAGCUACUGCAACCUCUGGAUAAUAAUAAUGUUCUCUGUGGAACAAGGUGUGAUAAAGCUUUUCCCACCCAGCAUGUAUCAUUCAGUGCAACUGUAACCCAACCAGGUUUGGUCCUUAGUUUCCCCUCUACCUCAAGGUCCCCAGCUGUCGAACUACCCACAUUAACAGACCAUAAAGCAGAUGUAAGCCUGCAGGAUGGCAUUGCCAUAGUAACCACUUCUCAAGGCCAGUGUACACCCCCUCAAGAUGACAGUGAGAAACAACUUGAAAACAUAUCAGCCACAGCAGAGCAAACACCAGAGACUGCAGAGGACAUGCAUUUCCAAGACAAAACUAAUUCUGCUCUAGGCAGCGAAAAUGGUGCAAAUUUGCCCAGAAAUAACCUAAUGAAGUUGGUGGCAUCAGCAUACAUGAAGCGCUUUCCAGCUCCUCAUUCUCAGAAUCAGAACGAUAACACAGUUACCCCCAAACAAGAAGUCGUCCCCGUUGACAUAACACCAGUAGCAAAAACUGAGGUGUCGCCGAUCAACGAUCUCUCUAUUGCCCAGUUGAGGCGGCUGCUUGCAGCACCCGGUAUAAAGACAAAAGCUCCAUCCAUCAGCAGAGUUCUUGAGUCUAGUAAGAAGAGGGUUGUCUCUCUGACUAAGACUUUCUCACCUGUUGUGGUUCUUGAAACCCGUCAAAAGCUCAAGGAUCCUGGCAGUAAUGGCUCAUAUGGGAGAUAUCAAUGUGGCCGCUGUCGUAGGGUCUUUCAAAACUUGGACAGACUGACAGAGCAUCAUUUCUUGCACAAAAAAGAGAGGAUUAAAUGUUGCCGUCGCUGCAAACAGCUGAUCAUUGGGCGGCUGCCUUUACCUGACAAUCACGUAUGCCCUCAGUUUGGAAACAAGACCUUACAGCUGUCAAGGUCUUUAAAAAACAAGUUACCGUUUGCCCAAAAAAUAGUGCCAUUCCAUAGUCUAAGCAAUACAAGAAAAGUUUUCUAUUGUCCAUUGUGCAAGCACAGCUACGCGCGGAGGUGGAACCUCAAAAUGCACAAGUGCCAGGGCCUAGGGUCAGCCCUCCCACGGCAGGCCAGUCCCUCCAUUCAAAAAAUGCUAGUAUUGCGAUCAAACAAUAAAGCCAAAACAGAUGUAGAGGUGAAAGCUGAAUCUCAAAUCACCAAGAGUGUUGCUGUGGGCACUGAAGUGACUGGUCGUAUCAAGGUAGAGCUGACCUCUCCAAAUUCAGAGCAAUCUGCAGUUUCACAGUUGGCCUGGACUAAUGCAGCAAAAAGCUUCUCACCAUUCUACCCCAAAUCUUCCAUGGUGGAGCAGCACAAGGAUGCCUCUCUGUGUGGGAUUUCACCCCAGCAAGGAGAAGAAAUCAGUAGUUGGGAUGCAGCAGCAGUUGACAAUGAAGACAGUAAUGAAGGACAGUGGACAAUGCCCUUGGAUGAUGAAAUGGAGGUGCUUAACUCUACAGAGAAAGCUGGUAAUGAUAGAGAGGUGAAGAAAUCUAUGUCAGUUGAACAUGCAGAGAUGGCGCCCCCUAGCCUGCGCUAUUUUGUCAGAGAUGGUGUAAAACGUUACCCUUGUAACAGGUGUCAGAAAACCUACAGUCGGCCAUCUACUUUGAGGCGCCAUCUAAGGCUGUGUGGGUUUAGGCCACGUGGACCUGGUACUGUAGCGCAGAGUGGUAGUCAGGGUGCCACUCCCCUAAAUGCCAACAAUAUGAAACCAAUGUUUCCUUGUUUUGUGUGUGGGAAGACCUUUAACCGCAAAGAUAACAUGAUGGUUCACAGACAGAAGUGUCAGUUGCAACGAACAAUGACUGAUGUGGAUAGAGGGACUGUGCAGCAGAGUGUGUCAGGCAAUGCAACAGAUUGUCAAACCCAAGAGGAUGAUGGAGGAAACUGGGGCAUCAUGUCACUGCCCUCUGUACUUCCAAGGAGGGUGACAUGUGAGUGUGGGGUUGGAUUUACAUCGCCAAGGCUUCUCCUGGAGCAUCUGCAGAAGCAUGCACAGGAAUCAUACACAUGUCCGACUUGUGGAGAGACUGUUAAUUCAUGGGCAGACUACGAAGUUCAUCUGCAGAUCCAUAUGCAUCCGCAUCACCAGCUGCUGAAGGGACUACAACCACAACGAUCACAACCUCUAUUACUUCGAUUUCAGCAACAGCGACCUCAGCAGCAGCCAUCUCAGUCAGUGCAUCAGCUUCCGCAGAAGCAGCCACGCCCAGAGCAGUUUCCAAAUCCAACAAAAAAGAAACAACGGAUUGUAUGCACAAGAUGUGGCAACACUUUCGCCACUCGCUGUUCCCUUCGAAGGCACAUAUCCUGCAAUAGAUGCAAAGGUGGACGGGCUACAAAUCCACCCACAAACCCUCCCAAAACCUAUCACUGUUCCCAUUGCAACUCUGACUUCCCAAACACAAUCAGUCUUCUAUUUCACCAGAGGAGUGGGGCUUGCAAGCCCGCCAUCAAGCCUGUGCGUUGCCCUGUUUGUCUUCGCUGGUUUGGCACUGUGGACGCUUUGCAGAAACACUUGCUUACUCACAAACAGUCUGAAUCAUAUCGCUGUGAUGUCUGUCAGGGUACAUACCCAAACCUUAAAUCUCUGAAAAACCACCGCAGGAGGAUUCAUCGCAUCAUGGCUGGAGACACUAAGCCAAAAACACAAGAACAGCUGACUUCUAAAUGACACUUUCUGAAAAAUGUCUAACAUGGGAGUCGUGCAUUUAAGAACAAAGCAAAUGUUAUCAUAGUUUGUUCUUUGCAUAUUUGCCGGUUGUAACUUACUUUUUUAAUUAUUAUUAUUAUUAUUAUUAUUAUUAUUAUUGUCCAGGAGUUAUUUUGACAUUGUACAGCCACAUAAGGUGUUUUUUAAGAUUUUUUUUUUUAUAGCAACUCUCAGAGUGUGUUAUAGUAGCUCGCCACUGUAAAAACAAAUGCUUUGAUAUACUGUACAUUUUAGUUUUAUUAAGUUAAUCCCUUUAUUACAUAGCCUCAUUAGCCUGUAAAUGUUUCUGAGUAUUUGGUAAUCAAACUUUUAUCACAGAGGUUGUGAUGUAGCUUGUUGUUCCUGGUGUUAAUAAACAUACCAGUAUGUGAAACAUGUA